AUUAAGGUGGCAGAAUCAAGCCAUGCAAAAGACCUAAAAUCUUUCUAUAGGAAAGCAAUCUUCCUCCUUAAUA
rnacentral:tRNA from 1 species